rnacentral:rRNA from 1 species
CGUAAACAAAGAGAAGCGAAAGGGUGACCAGGAGCGAAUCUCAAAAAUAACGUCCCAGUUCGGAUUGUAGUCUGCAACCCGACUACAUGAAGCUGGAAUCGCUAGUAAUCGCGGAUCAGAAUGCCGCGGUGAAUACGUUCCCGGGUCUUGUACACACCGCCCGUCACACCAUGGGAGUCGGAAAUGCCCGAAGUCGGUGACCGAACCGAAAGGAAGGAGCCGCCGAAGGCAGGUCUGGUGACUGGGGUGAAGUCGUAACAAGGUAGC